CGAUUCUCGUCGGUGGUAAGAAGCGGGAACGAAACAGCUGGUUUAGAAUUGAGAGAAAAGAAAAUUUUGUAGGAGGAAAUGCUUACAAGUUGACCACCUUAGCCGGAACCAUUGGAACCAUCCCAGGGCCUUGGGAAAAUGCACCACAACUAGUUCUCACCAAUGAUACUGCUAAGACCUUCCUCGUCAAAUUCCACAAAGUUCAUGGUGAUACUACGGCUACUACAUCUACUUCACGUCUGGAGAAGUUAGGUCUAGGGAUGUUCCCAUUCUACUAGUCAACAAGCUAAGAAUCAUGUAAUGUAAAGCCUGGCCUAAAGUAAUGGGUUGAGAUAAUACCCUCAUGCAUGUACCUGAAUUUCCAUAAAUAAAACAAAACUAUGUUUGCCAAAAAGAGACACAACUUUUCAUCAAAGCAAUGGAUUAAAAAAAUACACAAAUUCUUUCCAUAUCCUUUUUCCUUAUACAUAACUAAUCAAAGUUUAAUUGAACAUCCAAAAUAAAUAAGAAGUCAGUUGUAUAUUUGAAUUUGGCUUUUGAAACACAAUUUAUAAAGGACCUUGAGAUAUUUUCUCAGGUUUGGGCUUAACUCAAGUUUCCAUUCGAUUGAGAUCGUAAUAUUUCACUAUAUAUAACAGUUUGAGAUUCUAUCAGCUUUAUGUUAGUUGGGAUCCUGGGGACGUUUAUAGUUCCAAUAAACAAGAAGAGCUUCCAACUUCGAAUCCAAAACCUGUUAGUGAAAUUGUAAACUAAUGCUUUUCGCAUGAGUGAAUAAAACCCACUGAGAAUACAAAACUGAAAAUUCGUCCUGUUGUAGGGGAAAGGUCUUAACUUUUUUGGUAAAGUCAUUGGAAAGAGAUCAUAAGGAUCGAAAACAAACACAAAAAACAAAUUUCUCUAGCAUCAAAUAAAUAAUACAUAUAUGCAUGAUAAUUUGUCACCGAAUGUUGUCUGGUCUUUUUUUUUUACCUAGAUGAGUUCGGUGUUGAUAUAAUACUGAAUGAGAUAGACAAUCUUGAGGUUUAGAGCGAUCAUGAGAAUAAACAUAUUGUGUUCAGUAUAACCGAUGGAGAAAGUGCUGACUAUUUCGUGACAAGUUGGUUUAGACUUGUAGCCGAAGCUAAGAACCUCACCAUAAGAGCACAGGUCAAUCAUGGCCUUACAUUCAUUGCAUUAAAUUGAUAGAACUAAUUUGUUGAACUUAGUUCAUAAUCCAUCGAAAAGUAAUACUAUAGGAUAUCGAAAAACAGUUUUUAUAAUAAAAAUAUCAUACAAAGAGAAACAUGAGUGGAAUAAUAUUCAUUAUAUGAUAAAGCAUAUAUAAUUAGGGUUAUAGGGGCUUAGCGUUUAAAAGUUAGAAUUUAUGGUAAUAAUUUCUUUAAAUAAAUCUAUUUUGUUAAUAUUUCAAGAAUAUUUUUUAUAUUAAAUGAAUUAUAGAUAACUUAGUUUUUCCAGAUUACUAUUUAUUUAUAUGUUAUUUUUAUAGUAAAAAAAUAUUUUUUCUGCUCUUUAGGAGAAUUGCUCAAUUUUUCAUGUCUGUGUAUUUUGCAAAGUGGUCCAGUAGCGCAAACUCUAUUUUGAGAAACUCUAAAAAAGUCAAAGAUAUUUUCCAAUUUUAAAAAUUAUUAAAUAAAUACUGAAAGAAUAAUUAUAAUAAUAAUUGAUCAUAUAAUUUAAAUUCAAGAGUAUCUAUAUAUUUUCUGAUGAAAAUUUUAUGUGUAUGAUACAUAAAAUUCAUUUUCAAAUAAUAGUUUCUUAGUUUUUCUUAUACAAAAUAUCAUUGGGCAUUGUACGAAGUUUCUUAGUUUGGAUUUACCAGACUUAUCACUUAUUUAUUUUCUAGUAAAAUAAAAAAUCGUGGUAGACAUCAUUUUUAUUUUGUCUGGUAUGGUGUUUUAAAUUGACAAAAAAAAAUUUAAAAAAAAAUUGACAGAAAAAGUUGGAAGCAGAAAUAAGAUAUCUAGGGAAUCAUUUUUCUGCUUCCAAAAUUUUUAGUUGUCAAUAUAUUAUGGGUGCACGUGUCCCCAUUGUUAUUGUCCUGGCUUGGCCACUGUCUAUACAUUCAUUGGUUGUUCAGUAUAGUCUCUUUCUGUUUGAAAUCUUGCCUGGUUCUCAGGAAUUACUUGAUCAUCCUUUAUAAGUUAGUUACAACGGACCAUUUUGCAUGUUCCUCGUGCUGAAAAUCAAAGUUUGAUUCGGUUAACCUAUGUAGUAAAUUUUCAAUAAAUAUCUAUAUAGAAAUGAGAGACAAUCUUUUCUUUUUUACCGUCACACACGGGCAUAUAAUUUAACCGCAGAAGUUUCCUAUAAAUAUUGGUGCAACGUUUCUGCUCUCUACAGCUUAACUCAAAAGGAAACACACACAAAUAUUAAUCAAAAUGAUGUCAUCAUUCCCAUUGGUCUCCUUUCUCAUCACUCUCAUGUUGGCUUCAGCCGUAUGCACCCACGGGGAAAAUCGCGUGAAUGACACCGACGGAAAUCCACUUCGGACGACUGCACAAUACUUGAUCCUACCACUCUCCCCGAGGAGUAACGGAGGUGGUCUUCUCCCAGUCCCCGUUAAACUACAGCCCCUUUGUCCACUUGGCAUCAGCCAAUCCUCGGUUAAGGCCUUAACAGGCCUACCGGUUAGCUUCUCAUAUCCAUACGCGAUCAUGGACACAUAUGUUAACGAAAUGGAAGCUAUAAACAUCGAGUUCAAGUCAGACGCAUGGCCGGGCUGCGAGGAGUUUUCCAAGUACUGGGAAGUCGAUGAAUCCUCAUCGGCUUCAGAGGAGCCUGCGAUUCUCGUCGGUGGUAAGAAGCACGAACGAAACAGCUGGUUUAGAAUUGAGAGAAAAGAACCUUUUUACGGAGGAGUUGCUUACAAGUUGACCACCUUAACCGGAACCAUUGGAACCGUCCCAGGCCAUUGGGACCAAGCACCACAACUAGUUCUCACCAAUGAUACUGCGAAGACCUUCCUCGUCAAAUUCCACAAGGUUCAUGGUGAUACUCCGGCUACUACUUCACGUCAGGAGAAGUUAGGUCUAAGGAUGUUCCCUUUCU
rnacentral:lncRNA from 1 species